GGGUUAUUAGCUCAGUGGGUAGAGCAGUGGACUCUUAAUCCAUAGGUCGCAGGUUCGAACCCUGCAUAGCCCACCA
rnacentral:tRNA from 1 species